GACGAACGCUGGCGGCGUGCUUAACACAUGCAAGUCGAACGAAGAGCGAUGGAAGCUUGCUUCUAUCAAUCUUAGUGGCGAACGGGUGAGUAACGCGUAAUCAACCUGCCCUUCAGAGGGGGACAACAGUUGGAAACGACUGCUAAUACCGCAUACGGUCCAAUCCCGGCAUCGGGACUGGAUGAAAGGUGGCCUCUAUUUAUAAGCUAUCACUGAAGGAGGGGAUUGCGUCUGAUUAGCUAGUUGGAGGGGUAACGGCCCACCAAGGCGAUGAUCAGUAGCCGGUCUGAGAGGAUGAACGGCCACAUUGGGACUGAGACACGGCCCAGACUCCUACGGGAGGCAGCAGUGGGGAAUCUUCCGCAAUGGACGAAAGUCUGACGGAGCAACGCCGCGUGAGUGAUGACGGCCUUCGGGUUGUAAAGCUCUGUUAAUCGGGACGAAUGGUUCUUGUGCGAAUAGUGCGAGGAUUAGACGGUACCGGAAUAGAAGCC
rnacentral:rRNA from 1 species